CAGUAGCCGCGGUAAUACGAAGGGGGCUAGCGUUGUUCGGAAUUACUGGGCGUAAAGGGCGCGUAGGCGGCCAUUCGAGUUAGAUGUGAAAGCCCUGGGCUCAACCUAGGAAUUGCAUUUGAUACUGUUUGGCUUGAGUUCGGGAGAGGUGAGUGGAAUUCCCAGUGUAGAGGUGAAAUUCGUAGAUAUUGGGAAGAACACCAGUGGCGAAGGCGGCUCACUGGACCGACACUGACGCUGAGGCGCGAAAGCGUGGGGAGCAAACAGGAUUAGAUACCCCCGUAGUCCCUGUCUCUUAUAC
rnacentral:rRNA from 1 species